CCCGUAGACUCUCUUCUUUAUUAUUUCUCAAUGUUGUUCUCUUCCUCCCGUAGUGUCAAUCGGAGUUAUUAGUUGAUCCUCCUUCAUCAAUCAGUUGAUACUCCUUCAUCAAUCGGAAGCGUAGAUUGCUUAAUUAGAGCGUUAAUCAGAAUUUUGCAGCGGCUGCAAAGCAUUAAUUUCUUCUUCCUCUUUGCCGCUCUCUUCUUCCUCGCUCUCGGUCGCUCCUCCUUCGUACUCGGCGCUUGUAUUUGGCUAGCACUGUCACAGAUAUGUCCGUCAUCGACGCUGCUGUAAAGGCUAUGGAGCUUCAGGUCUAACAGAUCAAAAAUCGCAUAUGUGACGAGAUACAAGUCAUUCCUAAAGCUAAAAAACUCAUUGAGGCAUCAUUGCAAAAGCAAAAGAAACUACAUAGCAUGUUUGUUUAUGUUCCUUCUUCAUACUUGCCAAAGAGAACCACUCCUAUAAGCCAUGAACCUAGUAAAUUGUAUGUUAAAUUUACCCAUUUGUUGUCUUCUUACCACUUGAAAUGCUUAAUUUUAGUUGAAUGAAAUCUUGUUAUUCAUAGUUUACAGCCAAAGGCUUACAAUCAGGAAACUGCUUUUCAUGCUCUUAAUCUUUAAGAUGAACCUGUGAUUAAACAAAAACUUAGUCUUCCUCUAGUUUAAAUAAUGAGCUUUUAUUUGAAUUCAUUCUUUAUGUAGCCUAGAAUAAGAAAUUUAGUGUAAAUAAGAUGUGCUUCAAAAGAAGGAAAGUUUGUUUUGAUAUCAUUUUUUCUUACAAGCUGCCAUUUGAUUUUCAUGAGAAAAAGAGUCGUUCCUCCCCUCCUAUGUGGUAUGUCACUUCUGAAGAGCUUGACUCACUAUCAUCGUAAGUGUUUCAUUCAUAAUACAAGAUACAAAUCAGAUCAUUUUCAAAUAACCCUAGAUGAAACAAGAUCCAAAUAAACCAAUAUCAUAUUAUCAUCUAAUACCAACAAUAUUUUUCUUCCCAUAUAUUAGUAUAAAUGAUAAUGUGUAUUCUUUUUAAACAGAAUUUAAUGGUUUCAUUUGCUUGAAUUGCAUGAAGUCAUGAACAUAUUACACUAACUAUUGUGAUUUUCAGGACUUCUAUUUGGACUUGGUAGAAGAGAACAGGGUGAUAAACAACCCAAUUGAGCCUUUUUUAAUCAAUUAAGUAUGUCAUCUAUAUACAUAUUUUAAUCAUAUUCUUAAAGGAAUAAGAGCACAUGGCUCCGUCCAUUUACAAGGACUCGAUUAUAUGUCCAAACAUCACAUGCCAGCAGACAUGGUCACCAUUAUAGGUACUCAAGAUAUUGUGUAUGGUGAGGUUUUUUGAAUUUUGAAAAGUAAAAACAUUGUGACCAUGCAUGAGUUACCAACUUACCAUAGCCAAGUUUUCAAUCUUCCAUUUUAGCAAUCUACAUAAUUUGACGAGAUCAGUUGGUUGACAAAUGUCCUAGAGCAAGAGAAAUGGUUGAGGAGGUUUGAACCUGAUUUAAAUCUGACUAAUUUUAUUAUCAAUUAAGUAAUUUAAAUUUUUUAAUCCCAGACAAGAAUAAAAAAAUGAGCCCAUGCAAAAACUUUAUAUUUUAUUAUCUGUUCUACAAAUGGAUGGUUAUUACAAGAUGUCUUACUAGUACUACUAUAAUAGUAGUAAAUGAGUUUUUCCGUAUCUAAUCUAGUUACAUAUUGAUUUAAUGCGCUCAGGUCUCCGAUAUUUCUGAAACCUCAAGACCAAGGAAAAAAUUUGAUAUUGACCACACACAAUGUCAUUUACAGGUCAUUUAGGACGCUCUAAAUUCGCCCUUAAUAAGGACCCCCCCGGAGAAAGACAACUUCACAGGUUGCCUUCUGAGUUAACCCGAAGUAGUGCUUUCAUAUCGUUUCUGCUUUUUUUGGAAAAGCGGUUUUCGGGUGCUUCAUAUUGAGAAUAAACACUAGUGAUAAGGAGGUAGGUGAGUGAUAUCAAUUUUUCAUAUAUAUAUACAUAUUUUAAUAAUGAUACAAGCAUGGUGGGUGAGUAUCAGUUUGUCAUAUAUAUAUAUAUAUCAUGUUUUAAUCUAUGUGAUCAUCUAUUUGGAAGAAACCAAUUAAAAAAAAACAAAUUAUCACCGAGAGCAUUGACUCUGCUCUCGGUAAAUAUAUAACAUUUUCGUCGAGAGCCUUUCUAAAAUUCUCCGUAAUGAUUUAACAUUUUC